rnacentral:pre_miRNA from 1 species
AUUUUACUCCCUCCGUUCCAAAAUACUUGACUUUCAUUUGUCCAAAAAUGUAUGUACCUAUAUACUAAAACAUGUCUAGAUACAUCUAUAUUUUGACAAAUAGAAGGCAUGUAUUGUGGAACGGAGGGAGUAGGAG